rnacentral:rRNA from 1 species
GGACCCGCACAAGUAGUGGAGCAUGUGGUUUAAUUCGAAGAUACGCGCAGAACCUUACCAACACUUGACAUGUUUCGUCGCGACUUUAAGAGAUUAAAGUUUUCGGUUCGGCCGGACGAAACACAGGUGCUGCAUGGCUGUCGUCAGCUCGUGUCGUGAGAUGUUGGUUAAGUCCCGCAACGAGCGCAACCCUCACUUUUAGUUGCCAUCAUUAAGUUGGGCACUCUAGAGAGACCGCCGGUGAUAAACCGGAGGAAGGUGUGGAUGACGUCAAGUCAUCAUGCCCCUUACAUCCUGGGCUACACACGUACUACAAUGCUACGGACAAAGAGCAGCAAGUUCGCGAGGACAAG